CCCUCCAAGCGUCAAUAAAGUUUCUCUUGUCAGCAUUGCAAGCCAGAAAGGGGACAUGGAUAGUGGGAAGUUGCUGGUGACCAUCGACGGUGAAAACCUAGACUUCUUCGUCCUAUUGGAAAAUCCUUUCACAGGCGUUCCAUAUGACGAAACGAGGGGAGUUUCUGUGAACUUCAAAAGUUCUCGCCAGGUUGUCCUGGAGUGUUACCUUACUGAUGGAGCGUUCGACCCUUUUCCCACCGUCACGAUUAGAACUCACUUCCAGGAGAUCCCGUAUCAGACUAAGAAGGAAGAAG